UACGAAGGGGGCUAGCGUUGUUCGGAAUUACUGGGCGUAAAGCGUGCGCAGGCGGCUUCUCAAGUCAGGGGUGAAAGCCCAGAGCUCAACUCUGGAAUUGCCUUUGAGACUGAGUGGCUUGAGUACGAGAGAGGUGAGUGGAAUUCCCAGUGUAGAGGUGAAAUUCGUAGAUAUCGGGAAGAACACCCGUGGCGAAGGCGGCUCUCUGGAACGCAACUGACGCUGAGACGCGAAAGCGUGGGGAGCAAACAGG
rnacentral:rRNA from 1 species